GAUGAAGAACGUAGCGAAAUGCGAUAAGUAAUGUGAAUUGCAGAAUUCAGUGAAUCAUCGAAUCUUUGAACGCACAUUGCGCCAGCCAGUACUCUGGCGAGCAUGCCUGUUCGAGCGUCAUUUCAACCAUCAAGCCCCAGGCUUGUGUUGGAGCCCUGCGGCUGCCGCAGCCUCCCAAAACCAGUGGCGGGCUCGCUAUCACACCGAGUGCAGUAGUUUACUCUUCGCUCAGGGCGUGUGGCGGGUGCUAGCCGUGAAACCCCCAACUUCUCAAGGUUGACCUCGGAUCAGGUAGGAAUACCCGCUGAACUUAAGCAUAUCAAUAAGCGGAGGA
rnacentral:misc_RNA from 1 species